rnacentral:rRNA from 1 species
AUUGAACGCUGGCGGCAGGCCUAACACAUGCAAGUCGAGCGGAUGAAGGGAGCUUGCUCCUGGAUUCAGCGGCGGACGGGUGAGUAAUGCCUAGGAAUCUGCCUGGUAGUGGGGGAUAACGUCCGGAAACGGGCGCUAAUACCGCAUACGGCCUGAGGGAGAAAGUGGGGGAUCUUCGGACCUCACGCUAUCAGACGAGCCUAGGUCGGAUUAGCUAGUUGGUGGGGUAAAGGCCUACCAAGGCGACGAUCCGUAACUGGUCUGAGAGGAUGAUCAGUCACACUGGAACUGAGACACGGUCCAGACUCCUACGGGAGGCAGCAGUGGGGAAUAUUGGACAAUGGGCGAAAGCCUGAUCCAGCCAUGCCGCGUGUGUGAAGAAGGUCUUCGGAUUGUAAAGCACUUUAAGUUGGGAGGAAGGGCAGUAAGUUAAUACCUUGCUGUUUUGACGUUACCAACAGAAUAAGCACCGGCUAACUUCGUG